rnacentral:rRNA from 1 species
UACGGAGGGUGCGAGCGUUGUCCGGAAUCACUGGGCGUAAAGGGCGCGUAGGCGGCCUGAUAAGUAGGGGGGUGAAAUCCUGCGGCUUAACCGCAGGGCUGCCUUCUAAACUGUCAGGCUAGAGCACAGUAGAGGCAGGUGGAAUUCCCGGUGUAGCGGUGGAAUGCGUAGAGAUCGGGAAGAACAUCAGUGGCGAAGGCGGCCUGCUGGGCUGUGCUGACGCUGAGGCGCGAGCAGCGGUGGGGGAGCAAACAGG